UAAAAGUGAGCAGAUUGCAGAUAGAAGAAACAGCCCAGAGAGAAAUAUUCAGAAGUUCUCCUGAGUCAUGGACUGGAAAAAAAAAAAGAAAAAAAUUGUUCUGAAAGUUUUGCAGCUCUCAAAACGCAUGAAAACAGUGCUCUCAGCAGACCUGGAAUGCAUCAAGGGUUUAGUGUUUUUAAUCUCCAAGCAAUUUCUCCACGUCCUAGAAGUAUAAACUUGAUCAGGAGAUUUACACUUGAGGCCCCUGGAUGAAACCCUUUUGGAGUCGGUAGAACGAUAUACAGACAGAGAAGCUCAGCGCUUCUUUCCCCUGAAGCUCAGCAGCCGAGCUGAAAACUGUCUCUUUCUUUUGCCAUCAUCAAGAGCUCUCCUUAAUGCAUUUGUGUGUUCGGUGACAGAGAUGACUCGUCCAUGGUGCUCGGCUUGUCCCAGCAAAAGGUAUUCAGAUGGUGGUUCUGUCCUCUGUGGUUCGCCAAAGGAUUGAGCGGCAUCCUACAGGAUUUUCUUCGUUUCAAGGAAGCGAAGCCAGCAAAUGCAUAAACCCAAAAACUCUAAAAAUUGCAGAAAUUUCUGCUGUUCGCUAUCCAGUUCUUCUCUCCGAACAGUCCCAUGUGCUGCUAGAAGUGAGAAUGCUACUGCAUUCACCAUGCACACGGUGUUAUCUGACUGCUGAAUCCGACUUCUCAUAGAUACUCAAGGUCUCACAGACGCAAAGAUCUGCCUACUGUUGUCAAAUCCAAAUUGCUAUGCCACAAGCUGAAACCACACAAAGUUUCUUCAACCACUGUCUUUUCAAUAAACCUUGAAUCUGUAGGAGGGGCUGUAGGAAAUUUGCCAGUUACACUAGUGAAGUAUUUUUAUCCCUUUAUUUCAAAUUCAAAGAAAAAUUAUUGAAAGAUUAUUCCAGUAAGAUACCAUAGGAACACAGAAAACACGAUCCUAAAUGUUCUACCUUCCUAUAAAAUCUGGGCGUCUAAAAGGAUCUUUGUGAAGGAGCGUAGUGCAUAAACCAGUAAUACACCUUUUGCAAUUUUAAGGGAUAUCAGUGUACCUGAAAUGCAUGUCUAUGGACGUAUACAUAUUGCGUGCUACUUUAUCCUCUCUAGCCUUUCCCCCCCAAAAAAUUCCAUAAAGGCGCAGAAAUGUAUAAAUUUUAUUCAUGUAUUCUAGUUGGGACAAUACUGAUUUUUUUCACUUACAAAUACGAGGGAUAUAAACAAGCACCAACGCAAACCUCUUCUCAUCGCUGAGUGUAACUGUCCAGAAUAUUGCGCAUUAGUAAAUAAUUCAUCCCUUGAUCUUGUUCGUUGGCUUUUUAUCCGACUCAUGCUAAACCUGUCAACUUCUCUGCGUCUAAGAAAAUACUACCGUACGCAUUCACUCGUAUAACAGGACAAACUGAAAUGAGCAGUUUUAGAUAAUUUAAUUAGGUUGUAGGUUUUUUAAUAUAAUUCAGUAAGUAUGUGAACUUUUAACUUGUGUUAACUCAAUUUCCUCAUGCUUUCAUUUACCAUUUGUUGGGGACAUUACAGUGAUUAGCCAAAGCCCUUCCAGCUCUUAAUGUUCUCAAUAAAUUCUGGUUUAAAUUGACUGUCACUUUCUCGCUGUAAUAAAGUAGGUAUUUGACAUCUCAGAAGGAACCAGACUACUGUCUAUUACAUUUUCUUGAAGAAAAUUUUUCUAGCUCCACCAAAAAAAAAAAAAAAAAAAAAAAAAUCAACAAAAAUUCCAUGGCACUGAGGACUGCAAUGAGCAGCCGCAGCAGGUAGGCGGGACGGACAAGUACAUGCUCAGACAGUUUCAGAAUAUUCCAGUUGUUUUUGGGAAUUAAAAUGAUUCCGCGCGCCUUUUCUUGGACAAGCUACAUAACACUGUCUUCGUAUUUAAUUGUUUCGUUACCAAGUUAUUAGCGGCGUCUGAACGCCCUGAGAAACCCCCAAAUAUUCAGCUUGUUUGCAACGUACAUCCACUGUGCCGAGAUACAAAUGCAACAGCAGUGUUCUUUUUUCUGGUAGGUUCAAAGAUUCGUGUGGGCCAAGUGUCUCGAAAGCCAAUCUGCUAAACUGCA